rnacentral:rRNA from 1 species
CGUGUAGGCGGUUCGUUAAGUCUGGUGUGAAAGCCCGGGGCUCAACUCCGGAAGUGCACUGGAUACUGGCGAACUAGAGGACGAGAGAGGGAAGCGGAAUUCCUGGUGUAGGGGUGAAAUCCGUAGAUAUCAGGAGGAACGUCGGAGGCGAAGGCGGCUUCCUGGCUCGUAUCUGACGCUGAGACGCGAAAGCGUGGGUAGCAAACAGGAUUAGAUACCCUGGUAGUCC